rnacentral:tRNA from 1 species
GGGAAAUUGGCAGAGUGGUUUAAUGCUCCGGUCUUGAAAACCGGCGGACGCUAACGCGUCCCGGGGGUUCGAAUCCCCCGUUUCCCG